AACCGCGGUUAUACGAGAGGCCCAAGUUGAUAGGAUUCGGCGUAAAGGGUGGUUAAGGGUUACUAAAAAUAAAGCCGAACGUUCUCAAUGCUGUUAUACGCUCCCGAGGACUCGAAGCCCCACCACGAAAGUGGCUUUACCCCGCCCCGAACCCACGAAAGCCAGGGUA
rnacentral:rRNA from 1 species